AUUAGAUAGUUGGUGAGGUAACGGCUCACCAAGUCUUCGAUCAGUAGGGGUUCUGAGAGGAAGGUCCCCCACAUUGGAACUGAGACACGGUCCAAACUCCUACGGGAGGCAGCAGUGGGGAAUAUUGGUCAAUGGGCGUAAGCCUGAACCAGCCAAGUAGCGUGCGGGAUGACGGCCUUAUGGGUUGUAAACCGCUUUUAUACGAGGAUAAAGUUGGGAACGCGUUCCCAUUUGCAGGUAUCGUAUGAAUAAUGACCGGCUAAUUCCGUGCCAGCAGCCGCGGUAAUACGGAAGGUCAGGGUGUUAUCCGGAUUUAUUGGGUUUAAAGGGAGCGUAGGCUGCACUAUAAGCGUGCCGUUAAAUAUUUGGGCUUAACCCAUGUAAGCGGUCUGAACUGUAGUGCUUGAGUUGACACGAGGUAAGCGGAAUUUGUGGUGUAGCGGUGAAAUGCUUAGAUAUCACGAAGAACUCCGAUUGCGAAGGCAGCUUACCGGAGUCAUACUGACGCUGAAGCUCGAAAGUGCGGGUAUCGAACAGGAUUAGAUACCCUGGUAGUCCGCACGGUAAACGAUGGAUGCUCGCCGUAGGUCUUUUUUGGUCUGUGGCUUAGCGAAAGCGUUAAGCAUCCCACCUGGGGAGUACGCCGGCAACGGUGAAACUCAAAGGAAUUGACGGGGGCCCGCACAAGCGGAGGAACAUGUGGUUUAAUUCGAUGAUACGCGAGGAACCUUACCCGGGCUUGAAUUGCAAGAGAAAGAUUCAGAGAUGAUGAUGCCCUUCGGGGCUCUUGUGAAGGUGCUGCAUGGUUGUCGUCAGCUCGUGCCGUGAGGUGUCGGCUUAAGUGCCAUAACGAGCGCAACCCCUUUUUAUAGUUGCCAUCGGGUAAUGCCGGGCACUCUGUGGAUACUGCCACCGUAAGGUGUGAGGAAGGUGGGGAUGACGUCAAAUCAGCACGGCCCUUACGUCCGGGGCUACACACGUGUUACAAUGGCGUGUACAGAGGGCAGGCUAAUGCGGCAACGCAAGUCUAAUCCCGAAAGCACGUCCCAGUUCGGACAGGGGUCUGCAACCCGACCCCUCGAAGCUGGAUUCGCUAGUAAUCGCGCAUCAGCCAUGGCGCGGUGAAUACGUUCCCGGGCCUUGUACACACCGCCCGUC
rnacentral:rRNA from 1 species